rnacentral:rRNA from 1 species
CAGCAGCCGCGGGAAUACGAAGGGUGCAAGCGUUGAUCGGAAUUACCGGGCGUAAAGCGUGCGUAGGCGGUGAGUUAAGUCUGCUGUGAAAUCCCCGGGCUCAACCUGGGAAUGGCAGUGGAUACUGGCUCGCUAGAGUGUGUCAGAGGAUGGUGGAAUUCCCGGUGUAGCGGUGAAAUGCGUAGAGAUCGGGAGGAACAUCAGCGGCGAAGGCGGCCAUCUGGGACAACACUGACGCUGAGGCACGAAAGCGUGGGGAGCAAACAGGAUUAGAUACCCCCGUAGUCCCUGUCUCUUAUAA